GUAAUACUUCCUCCGUCUUAAAUUUUUAUGUCUUAGAUUUGUCUAGAUAUGAAUGUAUCUAGUCAAUUUUGGUAUUUAGUUACAUUCAUUUCUAGACAAACCUAAGACAAGAAUUUUGGGACGGGAGAAGUAGAAA
rnacentral:pre_miRNA from 1 species